AGGAUGCAGCGUUAUCGGAAUUAUUGGGCGUAAAGCGUCCGCAGGUGGCAAUUCAAGUCUGCUGUCAAAGGUUCUGGCUCAACCAGAAACAGGCAGUGGAAACUGAAUAGCUAGAGUGCGGUAGGGGCAGAGGGAAUUCCCAGUGUAGCGGUGAAAUGCGUAGAGAUUGGGAAGAACACCGGUGGCGAAAGCGCUCUGCUAGGCCGUAACUGACACUCAUGGACGAAAGCUAGGGGAGCGAAUGGGAUUAGAUACCCCAGUAGUCCUAGCCGUAAACGAUGGAUACUAGGCGUUGCUCGCAUCGACCCGAGCAGUGCCGUAGCUAACGCGUCAAGUAUCCCGUCCUGGGGAGUACGCGCGCAAAGCCGUGAACUCAAAGGAAUUGACGGGGGCCCGCACAAGCGGUGGAGUAUGUGGUUUAAUUCGAUGCAACGCGAAGAACCUUACCAGGACUUGACAUGUCGCGAAUCUUUGGGAAACUAAAGAGUGCCUUCGGGAGCGCGAACACAGGUGGUGCAUGGCUGUCGUCAGCUCGUGUCGUGAGGUGUUGGGUUAAGUCCCGCAACGAGCGCAACCCUCGUUCUUAGUUGCCAGCAUUAAGUUGGGCACUCUAGGGAGACUGCCGGUGAUAAACCGGAGGAAGGUGGGGAUGACGUCAAGUCAGCAUGCCCCUUACGUCCUGGGCUACACACGUACUACAAUGCUACGGACAAAGGGUCGCAAG
rnacentral:rRNA from 1 species